rnacentral:rRNA from 1 species
AGAGUUUGAUCCUGGCUCAGAAUCAACGCUGGCGGCGUGCCUAACACAUGCAAGUCGAACGAGAAAGUGGUAGCAAUACCAUGAGUAAAGUGGCGCACGGGUGAGUAACACGUGACUAACCUACCCUGGAGUGGGGGAUAACUGAGGGAAACCUUAGCUAAUACCGCAUAAUACCUACGGGUCAAAGGAGCAAUUCGCUUCAGGAGGGGGUCGCGGCCGAUUAGUUAGUUGGCGGGGUAAUGGCCCACCAAGACUGUGAUCGGUAUCCGGCCUGAGAGGGCGCACGGACACACUGGAACUGAAACACGGUCCAGACUCCUACGGGAGGCAGCAGUGGGGAAUUUUGCGCAAUGGGGGAAACCCUGACGCAGCAACGCCGCGUGGGGGAUGAAGUCCUUCGGGACG